GCCGUCCGCUCGUAGGUGAGGUCUGCGUCUGUGCUGGGAGAGGGUCUGGCUUUUAUACAGUUUAAUAAAGAAAUCCGUAUGAGAAAAUGCACAGGGGACAUCUGGUAGAUUGAGUUGCCUCAUUCAGGCACGACCAGAUCUGGCCAGGAUCCGGGCACAUCCGAGGAGUUCCUGGUUUAAUUUACAUUUAAAAUUUGUAGUUCCUUCCUGAUGCUUACCCAUCGUUUUCAGGGGUUGGUCCCAGGGUCACUUUUCAUGCUGAGAAGAUGCUGGUUGCUGGUUCACUCAGAAGACAACUCUGGCUCGAGGCCCGCGGUUUAGGCCUUUUUAUUUCAGUUUAGGUGAAGCCACAUCUCACAGCCCAACAGAGACAAGGCUGCGGCAGCUCCCCGUCCCCACGUCCAACCAGCGUGUAUUCCAUGCAGGCACACAGACAAGGACAAAAGAGGAGUAUAAAUACUACAGAAACACUCCUUUCACACAAACCCAAGCAGCACCGAUAGCCUCACCCUGUUUCUCUGGUUGGCUGAUCAAUGACUGAGGAUGAUUCUUGCUCCGUGAUCAAGAAUCAGUGCUGAAGAAUUGCUAGUGGGAAAUACAUGUGUGUGUGUGUGUGUGUGUACACUGCCAGUCCCCCAGCAGAUGGGCAGCGGACUCCUGGAUGUCAGUGUCCCCAGAUGCCAGCACCUGGACGCACGAGCCUUCAGGGUCCUCGAUGCAGACCUACACCAGGGGCAGAAGGGGAGUUGGGGGAAAGGAAAACCGUGGGGAAGGCAAAAGAAGGCAGGAAGACGGGCAGGUAGCACAGCUGGAGCUAGUGUACGUAUCUUUGCAAGUGCAAACUCACCUGACUGUACAUAAAUUACAUUUACAUAUUGUCGUGAUUUAGGGAAAUGGAUGCUCAGCAGAAGUAAGGGAGGUAGAAGGGAUAGUAGGUAGGGAAUGAAAGGGAUCUGGGUAAUCGUGCUGCAUAAUCUUAUCCGCCAACAGAAUCAGCCAGCUUUACCUGGGUGGAGAGGCCACCUUAGCCUGGGAGAGAAAAAUUUAUGUGUGAACAAUAAAUAGCCAAAUGGCUCAUCAUCCAAUUAGUGAUGCGGAGGAGUGGAUGAAUGAGGGUCCCAUUCUUGCUAUGCAGUGAAACCACCGCCGGGAGAACGGGCUUGAAGGAAUCAGCAGGGAAAGGCGACGCUGUGAAGCGAGACUCUAGUCUGGCGCUGCAAAGAGGCAUCAGAGGUGUAGAAUAACUGGGGGGGGGCCCGUGGUUAUGCCACUCAAGACCACGGUCUGGUUGCCCGUGAAAUACGACUGAGUGUUUUUUUCCACUUACCCGGCGAGGUGUGUGUGGGGGUGAGGCCCAAAGGGGGGGGGGGCCCGUGGUUAUGCCACUCAAGACCACGGUCUGGUUGCCCGUGAAAUACGACUGAGUGUUUUUUUCCACUUACCCGGCGAGGUGUGUGUGGGGGUGAGGCCCAAAGGGCUCUCGCUUCUGAUGCCAAGUGCCUGGCCCUGCCCUGCCCCAGGCGUUGGGUGGGGAGUUCGAUUUGGGGAGUAGACCUGUGACACGGGUGUCCUAAGGCAAGCUGGGGGAGGACAGAAACCUCCCGCGGAGAGGAAGAUCAAGGCUUGAUCUUGAUUUUCAGUACAAGUAUCAGCCACGAAAGCAGGGCCUCACGAUCCUUCUGCCUUUCUGGGUUUUAAGCAAGCAUCCAGGAGACAGGGGGAUGAGGAAUUCCGGGGAUGAAUCGGCACAUGAGGAACUCAGGCGUUUAGGAUGUUCUGCUCCGGUCACCCCAACGACCUGGGGAAUUCAGGCAGUUCCUGCAGGGACUGCU
rnacentral:ncRNA from 1 species